AGUGAACGCUGGCGGUAGGCCUAACACAUGCAAGUCGAACGGCAGCACAGUAAGAGCUUGCUCUUACGGGUGGCGAGUGGCGGACGGGUGAGGAAUACAUCGGAAUCUACUUUUUCGUGGGGGAUAACGUAGGGAAACUUACGCUAAUACCGCAUACGACCUACGGGUGAAAGCAGGGGAUCUUCGGACCUUGCGCGAUUGAAUGAGCCGAUGUCGGAUUAGCUAGUUGGCGGGGUAAAGGCCCACCAAGGCGACGAUCCGUAGCUGGUCUGAGAGGAUGAUCAGCCACACUGGAACUGAGACACGGUCCAGACUCCUACGGGAGGCAGCAGUGGGGAAUAGUGGACGAUGGGCGCAAGCCUGAUCCAGCCAUACCGCGUGGGUGAAGAAGGCCUUCGGGUUGGAAAGCCCUUUUGUUGUGAAAGAAAAGCAGCAGGUUAAUACCCCGCUGUUCUGACGGUACCCAAAGAAUAAGCACCGGCUAACUUCGUG
rnacentral:rRNA from 1 species